UACGUAGGGGGCUAGCGUUGUCCGGAUUUAUUGGGCGUAAAGAGCGUGUAGGCGGCCUGGUAGGUCUGCUGUGAAAACUCGAGGCUCAACCUCGAGAUGUCGGCGGAAACCAUCUGGCUAGAGUCCGGAAGAGGAGAGUGGAAAUUCCUGGUGUAGCGGUGAAAUGCGCAGAUAUCAGGAAGAACACCUAUGGCGAAGGCAGCUCUCUGGGACGGUACUGACGCUGAGACGCGAAAGCGUGGGGAGCGAACAGG
rnacentral:rRNA from 1 species